rnacentral:lncRNA from 1 species
AUACACGUAUAAUUAAAAAUUUUUGACAUCAAGUACUAACUGAAAAAGACACCGUUCAAAUUAUAGAAAUAGAAAAUAGUAUUUAAUGGGAUUUGAGUAGAAGGGAGACUCAGUAGAAGAAAUGUAUUACUUGCGCAAGCAACUGGCCUAGCUGGUGGCUAGCAUUCUUUGCAGCUCUUGGAGUCUCCCACUUACAAUUUUCACAAUAAAAGAAUAUCACAAAGAUUAUAAUUCUGGGCAUAACUAAAAUACAUCUGAAAUUAUCUCUUUAAAAAUAAUUAGAACAUAAUUUAGGUGAGUGAAAAUGACUUGUAUCACCCGACAAUCAUCUAAUUAUGCAGCUAUGCCUUGCUUUGUAAUAAACUAGUUUACUAAAAUAGCUCCAAAGGAGACUGAAUUGUGUUUAGACCACGAAAGGUUACUAUCCAGUCCAAUUAAAAGUCGGCUGAAAAACUACCACCUUCAGAA